rnacentral:lncRNA from 1 species
AAAGCGAGCGCGCCCUGGCCGGCCGGCAACGAACAAGCGAGGGCCGAAGAGCCGCCUUCUGCUACGACAUGUGGCCGCAGCCUCUCUCGGCCUGGGCGGGGAACAGGCGAGCCGCUGCUGCCGCUGCUGCCGCCGCCGCCGCCGCCGCCGCCGCUAUGAGGUAAAGUGCGGCCGCGGCUGCCGGCAGCAGCAAGUGCUUCUUCGCACGGGGAGCGGGUGGGUGUGGUUUGUACACAAAGGCCUAGAGUCGCGCUGGGCCCCGAGCCAAGGCGGAGGCCGCGGCGUCCCCGUGCGUGAGGCGGCGGCGGCCAGCCUAGUUACGGGGUCUCUUUUUGCUUUCGGCAUUUCCCGUCACUUGUAAUGCAGGCGGCCUCCUCGGCGAAGAAGCUGGCUCCGGGGUUCGGCGGCCGCACCGUAGUCUGGGCAAUAUGUGUAUUGCCUCGCAGCCGGCCCGGAGAAACGCUGACGUCGAGCGCUACGUCGGCCGCACAGGCCCGGAAUGUAAUGCCGGUGCAACUCCUCAAACACACUAGACUAGAGCAGCUCCAGCAGAUAAUUAGCCACACAAGUUUUUAAUGUUUGAUGUUUUGCCGUGGUUUUAUAAUGGUUGGAAGCCGCAAUCCGAUCAGAUGGGUGGCUAAUAAUAAUAAUAAUUAUUAUUAUUAUUAGGAGGUGGCCCUGGAUCCUGAUUGUGCAGCAGAGACUAGCCCUGGAUCAAUACCUUUGAAUGGAUUUUCGCUCUCACACAGGACAGUGGACAUGUGCCCCCCUUCCCCCAGUUUCCUGGGUCUACAGAGUGUUCAUCCAAGGUGGAUUCAUUUUCAUAAACAAAAAUGGGUUUCAUGAGCAAAUCCUGCAAAGGCUAAAAUGGGGUUUGGUGGAAGGGGGGUGUUGUGUAUGUUUGGCACUUUGAGUGCACCUGAGGUGAACAGUGCUCUAUUUUUCAUAGUGUGGCCUGGGUAGUGUUGGGCAGGGCCUUCUCUGCUAUAGCCCCACACUUGCAGAAGAUGGUCCCAUAGAGUACCCUCUGCAUAAUUUUUUGACCAGCCUCUGAAACAUCUUUGUUGUUGCUUUCAUGGAUUGAUUUUAACUGGGCGGCAUGCAGUGGUGGGGUUCUUUAUACUUUGUUAUAUUCAUGUUGUUUUUGCUAUGUUUUUUUGUUGGUAUUUUAAGAAUUUUGAGUGUUUUAAAUGUUUAAGGUGUAUUUAUAUAUUGUUUAUUGAUUGCUGUUUAGUUUGUGUAUCAUGUUUAAUGCUUUGUGAUGAUAAUUCUCCUAAAAGCCAGGAUAGAAAACUAUUAAAUAAAUAAAUAAAUAAAUAAUCAGAUAUCUAUUACUCAGCCAGCAAAGCUUUAGGCAAGUUACUUUCUCUCAACUUCAUCUUUCUCAUAAGGUUAUUGUGAAGAUAAACUGAGCUAUCUGUAUAUUACUCUGCUGCUUGGAUAAAGGGAUACAAAAGUGAUGAAUGAAAUCAUACAGAAAAGUAUUUUGUUUCACUUCUGGAAAAACCAGUAGUUCAGUACUUGAGAAAGUAAAAUAAAAGGCAGGCCUUCCAUCUCUGAAGUAAUUAGUCCUGUCACUUGAAACCUUCUUUUUGUGCAAUUUGAUUUCAAAGAAUAACUCAUCAGGCUUUUUAAGGAGAAGAUGAAAGGCUUGGUCAGGGGAGAAUGAAGGGGGAGAAAUAUGGCCUGUUGGCAGUUUAACAGAUAAUGUAUGUAAGUAUUGUACUGAAAACAUUUUUGUCACUCAACACAAUUUUUUUUGCAGGUUUAGCUCCGAAGUAAAUCCUACUGUGUUCAAUGGUGCUUCCUCACUAGUGUGUGUGUGUGUGCUGGGAAUGGGAUUGUAGUCUUUAUCUUGCAGUAAAUAUCCAACAUGGCAGUAGCUUUAAUUUGGCACAGAAUAAUAUACAAAAGUGAUGUUAUCAUUUGAUAAUUGGUCAAGAAUCCAAUUUUCUUUGGAUGUAGAUGCACAUUCAUGUAAGUAGCCGGCUGCUUUGCUUUACACAAAUGUUAUAUAAAAAGGGACUGGAAACCUUAUUUAGGCCACAUUUCCUAGUAAGCAACCCUCCAGAGACUGCAUGCCAGUGGCAGGUGUGGCCAAAAGCAAAAGUGGGCAGAACCAGAGGUAAAAGUGGGUGGAGCAAUAUUUGUGACUUGCCUUUGUACAGUAGGCUGUAUUCCAGCUACAAACAGUCAAGUUUCUACACACAUAAACACUUCUCUAUCUUCUAUCCAGGCAAGCAAGAGGCAUUAUCAGGUUUCAAUGACACAUUCAAGCUAGACUAAAGCACAUAAGGAGGGUUUGGAACAGGACAGGGUGACCUUAGGAGUGCCUGAGGGCUUCAUUCAGACUUUGGGUCUGCAACUCCCCACUCAUGGUAUAAGCAGCCUGUAGCUCUGUAUAUGCACUUGCCAACUUCAGAUUUUCAUUUCUUUAAAAUCACUGUGCUGGGAUUUUAGCAAUAUAGGGAUUUUUUUAAUGUGACCAUGUUUUAACACUAGGACAUUCUUUCAAACUAUCAAAAUGAUAUGAGAUUUCAACAUAAUAUACACUGUGGUGCCUGGUGCCACAGAUGUUCUGAGCUCUUACUGUGUCCCCCCCCCCCCCCAUGUUCACAUCUCUCUAGGUUCCAGCAUUUGUUUUUGAAACAAAUCCAUGACUAAUAUUCACAUUUUCCUUUCUUUUUGAAGUGCACUCACAUCGUGAGACAUGUGACCUCUUUUUUCCAUGAUGCAACCAAAUCUGCGGGUGUUUCGGUUCUGGCUGAGUUCCCGAUCAACAUUGCUUCAAAAUCAAAGGCACUGCAUGUGGCUAUGAUAAUCAAGCAUUUGGAUAAAACUAUUUAGAUAAAAAAAGAGCACAGGGGCAAGAUUUUACGAGAAAGUUAAAAGUAGGGGGAGUUAGUAAUCCUAAACAUAUAAAUCUAGGUCAAAGCUCAGUGGGUUGUGGUAAUCUGCUCCCAAGAACGGUUUCAGUUACACUGAUGCCCCUGGUACAUGUAUGCUUUUCUGCGCAGAUGUAUAUUAUGGAAAAUGAAAACAUCUUGUUCGCCUUAGUUGUGAAUUUGCUGAUGAGCAUCUGCUUAUACUACAUUCUUCUUUAGCUGAGCCUAAGAGAAGGCCUGCUGGAUCAGACCCAAAAGGUCCAUCUACUUUAUCCAUCUUGCUUUCCAUAGCAGUUAAUUGCCUCUAGGAAGGCCAGAAGUAGGGCAUGAAGGCAAGUCACUGCUGCUCCUCCUCCUCAGCAGUUGCUUUUCAGGAGUAUACUGCCUUUGUAGCUAGGGGUUCCAUACAGCUGUAAUGAGCUGUAAGAUUUCUCAGUCCCCUUCAAAGCAAUCUUACCAAGUGAUCCCCUUCACAGCUUGUGGUAGCCAGCUCCACACAUUUAAUUAUAUCCUGAGCUUCCUGAAUCUAUUGCGAACCAAGUUUAAGGUUGGUUCUGAGUUUUUUUGUGAGGGAGUUGGUUCUCUUUGAAGGGGACGGAGAAAAAUGUCUCUGUCCACUUCCUCUGGGUGGUGCCUGAUUAAUUCUCCUGCCUCUGCCACCCCCCUCUACCAUGUAUUUGCAGAAUGCAAGCAUGCCCUUUCAUUGAUGACUCUUUGCUAAGCUGUCUUCGUGAUAUAUUCUAUUUCCAGCCUUCAGGGUCCUUGUGCUUACACAGCUAAAAUGGGGAUACAUUGGCAGAUUUGGAGGAACCUUAUUUUGGGGGGUGGGGAGAAGAAAAAUAGCCCAAUGAGGACUGAGCAUGCUUAGUAGGUAUAGAAUGCUGAGUGACUGUGGGGAGGCAAGGGAGCAACAGAAAAUCAGGCAGGAGCGGGAAAGGAAUGGAAUAGUUAGAAAAGUGGGGGGGGGGAGAUGUUUCUAUAUAAAAAGUGUACAGAGAACUGUCAAAUUGUCUGGCCAUAUUUCCUGGUUCACAGCAAAGUUAUUUUUAAAUGUAUCCAGGGGCAGAAGUGAGAGUUUCCCAUAGAAAUCAAUGGAAUAAUCCUAGAUUUUAAUUUAGCUGGGAUUGGGCACAAAUUUGCCCAUUCCCACAAAACCAAACUAAAGUAAGCAGAAAAGAUACAUUAGUUCUACAGUUUCAUAAUCAUAUAGGGAAUAAAUUAUUUCAGAGAUUUCUUGUGGUCAGGGACCUUGAAAAAGCUUUGAAUGAUCAAGCCUAAAGUGCAAGGUGCUUUCUCCUGGUCUGUUAUUGGUUCCACCUAUAUCUAAGUCAAACAAGGAUAAAUUAUUUUGCAGAUAAUUACUUCAGCAGUUCAUUGCUAACAUUUUGUUUUGAUUGCUUUAAUAGCCAAAAAGUACGAUAUGAGCCUAAAGGCAAUGUUGCAAGACCUCUGGAGACAAUGGAGCCAUGAGCGUUGCUGCCUGCAAUCAUCACCUAGAGUGCAUUGCAUCACAUUUAAGACCUAGUGAGUCUUGACAAAUUUGUUGGCAGAGAAUCUAAAUAUUUUGGGGGCCAAGGUACAAAUGGCUACCUAAAAUAAUGGUUUAGUUCUCAAAAUAAUACUUUAUUUUAUUAGAAUAGAGUGAUGCUUCCACAAAAUAUUUGUCCAAAAAAUACCUUUUGCAUGUCUGGCUGUAAAAAUUCCAACCUGUUUCUCUUAGUUACUAGGUGAAAGGUAAAGCCACACAGCUUAGUGCUUGAAUACAUAAUCAUCAGCAUGUAGUACAGUCCUCAGGGCAGAAAAACCUGUUACCUUGACAUUUAUGUAUAAAGUAUGCACCACCCAUUUCAACAGAAAAAAAGAAUGAUUACAUUAAAAAAUCAAUAUACAUUGAUUUUACUAGGAUUUUUGUUGUUGUUCUUUGGCCUUUAAAAUAGCAGGUGAAAGAUAAUGUAUUGAGGGUACAGUUG